GGGUUGUGAGGUUAAGCGACUAAGCGUACACGGUGGAUGCCCUGGCAGUCAGAGGCGAUGAAGGACGUGCUAAUCUGCGAUAAGCGUCGGUAAGGUGAUAUGAACCGUUAUAACCGGCGAUUUCCGAAUGGGGAAACCCAGUGUGAUUCGUCACACUAUCAUUAACUGAAUCCAUAGGUUAAUGAGGCGAACCGGGGGAACUGAAACAUCUAAGUACCCCGAGGAAAAGAAAUCAACCGAGAUUCCCCCAGUAGCGGCGAGCGAACGGGGAGCAGCCCAGAGCCUGAAUCAGUGUGUGUGUUAGUGGAAGCGUCUGGAAAGGCGCGCGAUACAGGGUGACAGCCCCGUACACAAAAAUGCACAUGCUGUGAGCUCGAUGAGUAGGGCGGGACACGUGGUAUCCUGUCUGAAUAUGGGGGGACCAUCCUCCAAGGCUAAAUACUCCUGACUGACCGAUAGUGAACCAGUACCGUGAGGGAAAGGCGAAAAGAACCCCGGCGANGGGAGUGAAAAAGAACCUGAAACCGUGUACGUACAAGCAGUGGGAGCACGCUUAGGCGUGUGACUGCGUACCUUUUGUAUAAUGGGUCAGCGACUUAUAUUCUGUAGCAAGGUUAACCGAAUAGGGGAGCCGAAGGGAAACCGAGUCUUAACUGGGCGUUAAGUUGCAGGGUAUAGACCCGAAACCCGGUGAUCUAGCCAUGGGCAGGUUGAAGGUUGGGUAACACUAACUGGAGGACCGAACCGACUAAUGUUGAAAAAUUAGCGGAUGACUUGUGGCUGGGGGUGAAAGGCCAAUCAAACCGGGAGAUAGCUGGUUCUCCCCGAAAGCUAUUUAGGUAGCGCCUCGUGAAUUCAUCUCCGGGGGUAGAGCACUGUUUCGGCAAGGGGGUCAUCCCGACUUACCAACCCGAUGCAAACUGCGAAUACCGGAGAAUGUUAUCACGGGAGACACACGGCGGGUGCUAACGUCCGUCGUGAAGAGGGAAACAACCCAGACCGCCAGCUAAGGUCCCAAAGUCAUGGUUAAGUGGGAAACGAUGUGGGAAGGCCCAGACAGCCAGGAUGUUGGCUUAGAAGCAGCCAUCAUUUAAAGAAAGCGUAAUAGCUCACUGGUCGAGUCGGCCUGCGCGGAAGAUGUAACGGGGCUAAACCAUGCACCGAAGCUGCGGCAGCGACACUAUGUGUUGUUGGGUAGGGGAGCGUUCUGUAAGCCUGUGAAGGUGUGCUGUGAGGCAUGCUGGAGGUAUCAGAAGUGCGAAUGCUGACAUAAGUAACGAUAAAGCGGGUGAAAAGCCCGCUCGCCGGAAGACCAAGGGUUCCUGUCCAACGUUAAUCGGGGCAGGGUGAGUCGACCCCUAAGGCGAGGCCGAAAGGCGUAGUCGAUGGGAAACAGGUUAAUAUUCCUGUACUUGGUGUUACUGCGAAGGGGGGACGGAGAAGGCUAUGUUGGCCGGGCGACGGUUGUCCCGGUUUAAGCGUGUAGGCUGGUUUUCCAGGCAAAUCCGGAAAAUCAAGGCUGAGGCGUGAUGACGAGGCACUACGGUGCUGAAGCAACAAAUGCCCUGCUUCCAGGAAAAGCCUCUAAGCAUCAGGUAACAUCAAAUCGUACCCCAAACCGACACAGGUGGUCAGGUAGAGAAUACCAAGGCGCUUGAGAGAACUCGGGUGAAGGAACUAGGCAAAAUGGUGCCGUAACUUCGGGAGAAGGCACGCUGAUAUGUAGGUGAAGUCCCUCGCGGAUGGAGCUGAAAUCAGUCGAAGAUACCAGCUGGCUGCAACUGUUUAUUAAAAACACAGCACUGUGCAAACACGAAAGUGGACGUAUACGGUGUGACGCCUGCCCGGUGCCGGAAGGUUAAUUGAUGGGGUCAGCGCAAGCGAAGCUCUUGAUCGAAGCCCCGGUAAACGGCGGCCGUAACUAUAACGGUCCUAAGGUAGCGAAAUUCCUUGUCGGGUAAGUUCCGACCUGCACGAAUGGCGUAAUGAUGGCCAGGCUGUCUCCACCCGAGACUCAGUGAAAUUGAACUCGCUGUGAAGAUGCAGUGUACCCGCGGCAAGACGGAAAGACCCCGUGAACCUUUACUAUAGCUUGACACUGAACAUUGAGCCUUGAUGUGUAGGAUAGGUGGGAGGCUUUGAAGUGUGGACGCCAGUCUGCAUGGAGCCGGCCUUGAAAUACCACCCUUUAAUGUUUGAUGUUCUAACGUUGACCCGUAAUCCGGGUUGCGGACAGUGUCUGGUGGGUAGUUUGACUGGGGCGGUCUCCUCCUAAAGAGUAACGGAGGAGCACGAAGGUUGGCUAAUCCUGGUCGGACAUCAGGAGGUUAGUGCAAUGGCAUAAGCCAGCUUGACUGCGAGCGUGACGGCGCGAGCAGGUGCGAAAGCAGGUCAUAGUGAUCCGGUGGUUCUGAAUGGAAGGGCCAUCGCUCAACGGAUAAAAGGUACUCCGGGGAUAACAGGCUGAUACCGCCCAAGAGUUCAUAUCGACGGCGGUGUUUGGCACCUCGAUGUCGGCUCAUCACAUCCUGGGGCUGAAGUAGGUCCCAAGGGUAUGGCUGUUCGCCAUUUAAAGUGGUACGCGAGCUGGGUUUAGAACGUCGUGAGACAGUUCGGUCCCUAUCUGCCGUGGGCGCUGGAGAACUGAGGGGGGCUGCUCCUAGUACGAGAGGACCGGAGUGGACGCAUCACUGGUGUUCGGGUUGUCAUGCCAAUGGCACUGCCCGGUAGCUAAAUGCGGAAGAGAUAAGUGCUGAAAGCAUCUAAGCACGAAACUUGCCCCGAGAUGAGUUCUCCCUGACUCCUUGAGAUCCUGAAGGAACGUUGAAGACGACGACGUUGAUAGGCCGGGUGUGUAAGCGCAGCGAUGCGUUGAGCUAACCGGUACUAAUGAACCGUGAGGCUUAACCUUACAACGCCGAAGGUGUUU
rnacentral:rRNA from 1 species